AAGUUCAGCUCCCCUGUGAACUGGGGGCGGAGCUUGGUGUGAGAGAUGCGGGGCGCGGGGGACUGUUGGUGAAUCACUGGGUCUGUGCAUUCUGGGAAACUGGGAACGAGCGGGAUUCUCCGGCAGCAGGUUUCUUCUGCAUGAAUCUGCAAAAUGGCAAGAAGACUCAAGUCCUCCAGGCAAGGAGAUGGGCAGUGGGGCCCUGCUCCGGUCACUCCUCCUGCUCCCAUCUCCUCCCCUCUGGCCAGUGUCCGUCCAGGAAGGGGCGGGCAGGAAGACUGGAAGGUUCCUGGAGUGGGCAAGUCUCUGCCCCAAAUGUCACCUCCUCUCCCAGCCGCACUUUCUCCAAGGACAUGAGAAAAGGGCCUCCCCCGCCUCCUGCAGACCCGUCAUCCUGGGAGAGCCCUCUCUCCUCACAUGGGACCACCGCGGCUUGGUCCAGGACCCACCGUUGGCGUGGAAGCUGCGGCCCUAUCUGAGAAUGCGGCUCACGAGGAGGGGAGCUCGGACUGCAGCCAGAUCGGGCAGAACACCGAGUUCACACCCCAGAAACUCUGAUACACAGAAAGGAGACACCAAAGUGAAGGGGGGACUGCAGCCAACAGUACCUCUCUUAGCACCUCCAUGGUGCAGAAGGCGGAAGGAGCCACGAGGGAGUAGCUGUGACGCCCUGAACUUCCUGGCCCUCGGGGCGCUGACAGCCGAUCCGCAUUAAGGACACUCCAGCUGGUGAUCACAAGGAAGUGUGGUGUAAGCAGGAGUCAGUAGGGUGCAAACCGCCCUCAGCAAGGAGCCAGUCCUGGCACUCAGUGAAGAACCAAGCCCAUGGCCCUUCCUUGGAGGAGAGGCAGUACACAGAUGAUUAGCAAUGAUUUCGGAUGGG